UACGUAGGGUGCGAGCGUUAAUCGGAAUUACUGGGCGUAAAGCGUGCGCAGGCGGUUUGCUAAGACAGGUGUGAAUUCCCCGGGCUUAACCUGGGAACUGCGCUUGUAACUGGCAAGCUAGAGUGUGGCAGAGGGGGGUGGAAUUCCACGUGUAGCAGUGAAAUGCGUAGAGAUGUGGAGGAACACCGAUGGCGAAGGCAGCCCCCUGGGCUAACACUGACGCUCAUGCACGAAAGCGUGGGGAGCAAACAGG
rnacentral:rRNA from 1 species